GGCGCAGCAUUUUUUGACAUUGAUCCAGCAUCAGGGUCAAUAGAUGUAAUUUCAGCAUUAGAUUAUGACAUUCUUCCAGCUGACAGUAAAAAAUAUGAAGUCACUAUCAUUGCUGCAGAUGGUGGGGGUUUGGAGGGAACUGGCACAGUUACAAUUCAAGUUGCAAAUGUUAAUGAUAAUGCUCCAGUGUGUAAUCACACCAUAGCUGUAAAUGUGAAUGAAAUUCAAGGAGUUGUUCCUUACAUUGUUCUUACAAAUCUUGGCUGUGCUGAUAAAGAGGAUGGGACAUCUUUAAUUUACUCUCUCACCCAAUCUCCCGGAUCCCAUUUUACAUGUUUGGAUGGUCUUGUACAACUUAAAAACAAUACACUGGAUUAUGAGACUGCUUCUCUUCAUACUCUGGUGAUUGCUGUAAAAGACAAAGGUACCCCCAGUCUCUCCACCACUGUGACUGUGUUGGUGAGUGUGGUCAAUCAGAAUGAUGGUGGACCAGUGUUUACUGCUCCA